AGAGUUUGAUCAUGGCUCAGAUUGAACGCUGGCGGCAGGCCUAACACAUGCAAGUCGAACGGUAACAGGAAGCAGCUUGCUGCUUUGCUGACGAGUGGCGGACGGGUGAGUAAUGUCUGGGAAACUGCCUGAUGGAGGGGGAUAACUACUGGAAACGGUGGCUAAUACCGCAUAACGUCGCAAGACCAAAGAGGGGGACCUUCGGGCCUCUUGCCAUCAGAUGUGCCCAGAUGGGAUUAGCUUGUUGGUGAGGUAACGGCUCACCAAGGCGACGAUCCCUAGCUGGUCUGAGAGGAUGACCAGCCACACUGGAACUGAGACACGGUCCAGACUCCUACGGGAGGCAGCAGUGGGGAAUAUUGCACAAUGGGCGCAAGCCUGAUGCAGCCAUGCCGCGUGUAUGAAGAAGGCCUUCGGGUUGUAAAGUACUUUCAGCGGGGAGGAAGGUGUUGCGGUUAAUAACCGCAGCAAUUGACGUUACCCGCAGAAGAAGCACCGGCUAACUCCGUGCCAGCAGCCGCGGUAAUACGGAGGGUGCAAGCGUUGAUCGGAAUUACUGGGCGUAAAGCGCACGCAGGCGGUCUGUCAAGUCGGAUGUGAAAUCCCCGGGCUCAACCUGGGAACUGCAUUCGAAACUGGCAGGCUUGAGUCUUGUAGAGAGGGGUAGAAUUCCAGGUGUAGCGGUGAAAUGCGUAGAGAUCUGGAGGAAUACCGGUGGCGAAGGCGGCCCCCAGGACAAAGACUGACGCUCAGGUGCGAAAGCGUGGGGAGCAAACAGGAUUAGAUACCCUGGUAGUCCACGCCGUAAACGAUGUCUACUUGGAGGUUGUGCCCUUGAGGCGUGGCUUCCGGAGCUAACGCGUUAAGUAGACCGCCUGGGGAGUACGGCCGCAAGGUUAAAACUCAAAUGAAUUGACGGGGGCCCGCACAAGCGGUGGAGCAUGUGGUUUAAUUCGAUGCAACGCGAAGAACCUUACCUGGUCUUGACAUCCACAGAAGAAUCCAGAGAUGGAUUUGUGCCUUCGGGAACUGUGAGACAGGUGCUGCAUGGCUGUCGUCAGCUCGUGUUGUGAAAUGUUGGGUUAAGUCCCGCAACGAGCGCAACCCUUAUCCUUUGUUGCCAGCGAUUAGGUCGGGAACUCAAAGGAGACUGCCAGUGAUAAACUGGAGGAAGGUGGGGAUGACGUCAAGUCAUCAUGGCCCUUACGACCAGGGCUACACACGUGCUACAAUGGCGCAUACAAAGAGAAGCGACCUCGCGAGAGCAAGCGGACCUCAUAAAGUGCGUCGUAGUCCGGAUUGGAGUCUGCAACUCGACUCCAUGAAGUCGGAAUCGCUAGUAAUCGUGGAUCAGAAUGCCACGGUGAAUACGUUCCCGGGCCUUGUACACACCGCCCGUCACACCAUGGGAGUGGGUUGCAAAAGAAGUAGGUAGCUUAACCUUCGGGAGGGCGCUUACCACUUUGUGAUUCAUGACUGGGGUGAAGUCGUAACAAGGU
rnacentral:rRNA from 1 species